rnacentral:rRNA from 1 species
UCCUUCGGAGUCCGAGUUGUAAUUUGUAGAAGAUGCUUUGGGUUGUGGGCUCGGCCUAAGUUCCUUGGAACAGGACGUCAUAGAGGGUGAGAAUCCCGUAUGUGGCCAUGGCCCGCGCCUAUGUAAAGCUCUUUCGACGAGUCGAGUUGUUUGGGAAUGCAGCUCAAAAUGGGUGGUAAAUUUCAUCUAAAGCUAAAUAUGGGCCAGAGACCGAUAGCGCACAAGUAGAGUGAUCGAAAGAUGAAAAGCACUUUGGAAAGAGAGUUAAACAGUACGUGAAAUUGUUGAAAGGGAAGCGCUUGCAACCAGACUUGGGCGCUGCCGAUCACCCCGAGUUCUCUCGGGUGCACUCGACAGCGCACAGGCCAGCAUCGGUUCGGGUGGCUGGAUAAAGGCCGUAGGAAUGUAGCUCUCUUCGGGGAGUGUUAUAGCCCACGGUGCCAUGCAGCCCAGCCGGACCGAGGACCGCGCCUUCGGGCUAGGAUGCUGGCGUAAUGGUUGUAAGCGACCCGUCUUGAAACACGGACCAAGGAGUCUAACAUCUAUGCGAGUGUUUGGGCGUUAAACCCAUACGCGGAAUGAAAGUGAACGUAGGUGAGAACCCCUUUGGGGCGCAUCAUCGACCGAUCCUGAUGUCUUCGGAUGGAUUUGAGUAAGAGCAUAGCUGUUGGGACCCGAAAGAUGGUGAACUAUGCCUGAAUAGGGUGAAGCCAGAGGAAACUCUGGUGGAGGCUCGCAGCGGUUCUGACGUGCAAAUCGAUCGUCAAAUUUGGGCAUAGGGGCGAAAGACUAA